GACGAACGCUGGCGGCGUGCUUAACACAUGCAAGUCGAGCGGUAAGGCCCGUUUCGGGGGUACACGAGCGGCGAACGGGUGAGUAACACGUGGGUGACCUGCCCUCAGCUCGUGGGAUAAGCCUGGGAAACCGGGUCUAAUACUGGAUAUGACUCCAUGACGCAUGUUGGUGGGGUAGGAAAGCCUUGUGCGGCUGAGGAUGGGCCCGCGGCCUAUCAGCUUGUUGGGUGGGGUGAUGGCCUACCAAGGCGGCGACGGGUAGCCGGCCUGAGAGGGCGACCGGCCACAC
rnacentral:rRNA from 1 species